rnacentral:lncRNA from 10 species
CAGGAGAGUAAUUUACUCUAUGAGCCUUUUACUUUAGGCCAGAAGGUACACUUGUAAUAGCUGCUUAAUCUUAACCUCAGGAUUUUACAGCUCAUGAACUUUUGUAUUGACAUUAAUGAACAACCUAGGAAAGGUAAAAUACUGAUCAACAGAGACAUCUUAGUUUCCAUAGAAAAUUAAUAAGGAUAGUUCUCUGGAUGAGAAUUUAUUGUGAGUGCCUUGAGAAUGAACUGCUGUAAUGAAUGUAAAGACAGCAUGUCAAAUGGAAGAAAAUAUUUGCAAACUAUUCAUCUAACAAGGGACUAAUAUCCAGAAUACACAAGGAAUUCAAACAACUCAAAAGUAAGGAAGAUAAUAAUAAUCCCAUUAGAAAGUGGGCAAAGAACGUGAAUAGACAUUUCUCAAAAGAAGACAUACAAGUGGCCAACAGGUAUAUGAAAAAUGCUCAACAUACCUAAUCUUCAAGGAAAUGAAAAUCAAAACAGAAAGAGAUAUCAUCUUACCCCAGUAAGAAUGGCUAUUACUAAAAAGACAAAAACAGUGCUGAAAAUUUUCAUGGAGAUGGAGCAAGAUAGCCAAAUAGAAGACUCCAGCAAUCAUCCUCCCAAAAGGCACAUCAAAUUGAACAGCUAUCCACACAUAAAAGUGCCUUCAUAUGAACCAAAAAUCAGACAUAUUUUAAAACUAUAAAUCACAAUGAGGAAGUCAUUAGGGAUUCAAAGAAAAAUCUUCAAUAGAAGAAAGAGAACAAGCACUGAAAAAAAAACCAACAGAAUAUCUGAAGACUGUGGGACAACUGCAAAAUCUCUAACAUCUCUCUAAUGAAAAUUCCAUAAGGAGAAAAGAAACGAUAGGAACAGAAGAAAUAUUUGAAACAAUAAUGACUGAGAUUUUCCCCAAAUGAAUGUAAGACAGCAAACCAGAGAUCCAAGAAGCUCAGAAAACACAAAGCAAAAUAAAUAUAAAACAAAACAAAAACUCCAAAUGAUGCCUAGGCAUAUCAUUUUUAAACUAUAAAAAAACAAACAAGAAGAAAAAAUCCUGAGAGCAGUCAGAGGAUAGAGACACUUUACCUCUAAAACAAUAAUUACAUCUGACUUCCCUUGCACUUUUCAGUGCAAGCAAGAAAAGAAUGGAUUGAAAUAGUUAAACUGUUGAUAGAAAAGAAACACCAACCUAGAAUUCUGUACCAUAAAAAUUAUCUUUCCAAAGUGAAAGAAAAAUAAAGACUUCCUCAGACAAAUAAUAAUUGAUGAAAUUUGUUGCCAGUAGCUGCCUUGUAAUAAAUAGUAAAGAAAUUUCUUUAGAAAGAAGGAAAAUUUUAUAGGUUAGAAACCUGAAUGAAGAAAGAACAUCAAAGAAGGAAUAAAUGAAGUAAAAUUAAAACUUAUUUUUCUUACUCUUAAUCUAACAAAUAAAAUUUUGUUCAAAAUAAUAAUGGCAAUAAAUUCAAUUAUAUAUUCUAUUAUGUAUGUUGAUAUAUACAUAAUUGAUAUGGUUUGACCCUGUGCCCCUACCCAAAUUUGACCUUGAAUUGAAGUAAUCCCCUUAUGUCAAGGGCAGGACCAGGUGGAGAUAAUUGAAUCACAGUGGCGUUUUCCCCCAUACUGUCCUCAUGAUAGUGAGUUCUCAUGACGUCUGUUGGUUUUAUAAGGGGCUUUCUCCCCAUUCACUCUGCACUUCUCCUUGCUGCUGCCAUGUGAAGAAGGAUGUGUUUGCUUCCACUUUUGCCAUGAUUGUAAGUUUCCUGAGGCUUCCCCAGAUAUGCUGAACAUGAAUCAAUUAAACCUUUUCUCUUUAUAAACUAACACAGUCUCAGAUAUGUCUUUAUUAGCAGUGAGAAUGUACUAAUACAAUAAUCAAGUAUAUUGUACUUAUAUAUGUUUAUGUGUAUGUGUAUAUAUACACAAAUGAAAUAAAUGACCACAAUGAUACAAGGGAUGGGGAGGAAUCAGGAUUAUUUUGUUAUUAGAAGGUGCUCACAUUACACAUAAAGUGUUUUAAUGUUAUUUAAAAGUGGAUUUGGGUUCCUUACAAAUGCCUAUGACAAACUCCACAGCAACCACCAUAAAAGCUAAAGAACAGGAUGCAUAACUGAUAUGCUAAGAGACAGAGAAAAUCGAAUUAUAUCAAGUGUUCAACUGAAUACCACAAAGCACAGAAAAAGAGUGGAAAACAAAAACAGACAAAAAGAACAAGGGAAACAAAUAGAAAAAGUAACAAAUAUGGAAGUUGUUAACCUAAACAUAUCAAUAAUCACUUUGAACACGUUAAACAACAGAGGUUGUCAGAGAGGGUCAAAAAAUGAGACCCAGUUAUAUAUAUUCUACAAGAAACCCACUGUAAAUAUAAAG